rnacentral:lncRNA from 1 species
AAAUAUCUGAAAAAAAUAUCAUGUUUAUACUGAACAUGUACAGACUUUUUUUCUUGUCAUUCUCUAAACAAUAUAGUAUAACAACUAUUUGUUUAGUAUUUAUAUUAUAGUAGGUUUUGUAAGUAAUCUAGAUAUAAUCUAAAGGAUUUAGGAGGAUGUGCAUAGAUUAUAUGCAAACAUUACACUUUUUAUAUAAUGAGUCUGAGCAUCCAUAGAUUUCCGUAUGGAGGUUCAUGGGGUUGUCCUGGAACUAAUCCUCCAUGGAUACCAAGGAAUAACUACUAAUUGGUAUUAGUAAUUAUAUCUCAUGAUUUUAGGGUAUGGGGAUAACUUAUAAACAUCUUACGGUCUUCAUUAUUAUUCCUUUUGGAAUGUUGACUUAUUUUAAAUGUGUUUCUUAAUUUUCAAAUAAAUGUGGUUUUUCCACUUAGUUUUUGUUAUUGAUUUGCAAGUUAAGUGCAUUGUGGCAAUGAACGCAGUUUUGAUUAUAUCAGUAAUUCUAAAUUUGUUGAAACUUGCUUCACAGCCAAACAUGUGAUUAAUGUACGCUUGAGAAGUACCUGUUUUCUGAGAUUACUGGGUGUGCGGUUCUAUAUAUGGUCCUUAGUCAGCAGACCAAUGCUACUCACAGAGAAGAAAAAUGGAAGCACACAAACCUGGGAAGACUCACUCACUGCCGAAUGGAUGAUGGACCAGGGAAAAAGCAGACCUGCAGACCCGCCAUAGGUUCAUUACCAUUGCCUUUAUUUAUAUGGAGUUGAAGAGGAAUGAUGAAGAGUGAACUUGAGGAGCCAUCAUGAAUAGAAAUAUUUUUUUCCCUCUACAUAUCCCUAAUAGAGUUGAAAUGAAAAAUUGGUUCAAGGAAGUGUUUCACACUGACUGCUCAGCGGGUCCUUCAGUUCAAAUAUUCAUGAACAGCGUUCUGUCAUCACCCACAGCAUAUUGAACCAUCUUGAGUAUUUCCUGUAUCACGUUUUUGUUAGAAAAGAAAGGCUCUUGCUUUCUUUUCUGAGACCCCAUGUUCCUACCUCACUCAUAUCUUAAUUGUCUUACAUUUUUAGAGGGACUUUUUUCCAUUCCCCUACAACAUUCCAUUGCUGACAGAAAGGCUGACAAGGCAACUAACACAGUGGCUAUUACUUUGAGCAGUGUCUAAACAAUAUUAUUUUGCUGCCCUUCUGCUUUCUGUGAAAUUAUAGGGUGCUUCCUUUUGUGUACAACAAUAGAGCUCAGCUCCCACACCAGGGGUCCUGAACAGAUUCCAUACCAACCUCCUGAGCUUUAGUAUUAAUGUAAUUAUCAGCUGGAGACAUCAACUCAGGCACUCACAUUGUCACUAUAUUGGUUCAUCUUCAUGCCAGAGAAGGUAGAAUGGUGUUAUAAAGC